rnacentral:rRNA from 1 species
UCAUUCUAGAAACACUUUCCAGUACCUCUACUUUGUUACGACUUAUUCCAACUUUUAAAUGAAAGCGACGGGCAAUAUGUACAUAUUUUAAUUUUUAAUCAUUUUAUUAUAUUAAAAAAAUUACAUUUAAAUCCACCUUCAUAAUUAUUUUACAAAAAAAAAUCCAUUUAAAUAAAUUUAUUGUAAUCCAUCAUAUUCUUAAUUAUAUUCUACAUCUUGAUCUGAAUUAAUUUUUAUUUUUAAUUUUUAAAUAUUAUUUUUAUUUUAAAAUAUUUUUUUAACAACGAUAUAUAAAAUUCUAAAUUAAGUAAAUUUAAUCGUGGAUUAUCAAUUAUUAGACAGAUUCCUCUAAAUGAACUAAAAUACCGCCAAAUUAUUUAAGUUUCAAUAAAUAAUUAUCUACUAUUUUAGUACUCAUAAAUUAAAUUCUA